GACGAACGCUGGCGGCGUGCUUAACACAUGCAAGUCGAACGGAAAGGCCCUGCCUUUGUGGGGUGCUCGAGUGGCGAACGGGUGAGUAACACGUGAGUAACCUGCCCUUGACUUUGGGAUAACUUCAGGAAACUGGGGCUAAUACCGGAUAGGAGCUCCUGCUGCAUGGUGGGGGUUGGAAAGUUUCGGCGGUUGGGGAUGGACUCGCGGCCUAUCAGCUUGUUGGUGGGGUAGUGGCUUACCAAGGCCUUGACGGGUAGCCGGCCUGAGAGGGUGAGCGGCCACAGUGGGACGGAGAUACGGCCCAGACUCCUACGGGAGGCAGCAGUGGAGAAUAGUGCACAAUGGGCGGAAGCCUGAUGCAGCAACGCCGCGUGCGGGAUGACGGCCUUCGGGUUGGAAACCGCUUUCGCCUGUGACGAAGCGUUAGUGACGGUAAUGGGUAAAGAAGCACCGGCUAACUACGUG
rnacentral:rRNA from 1 species